CCAGAGAACUUUCCAGAGAUGGAUUGGUGCCUUCGGGGAACUCUGAGACAGGUGCUGCAUGGCUGUCGUCAGCUCGUGUUGUGAAAUGUUGGGUUAAGUCCCGCAACGAGCGCAACCCUUAUCCUUUGUUGCCAGCGGUCCGGCCGGGAACUCAAAGGAGACUGCCAGUGAUAAACUGGAGGAAGGUGGGGAUGACGUCAAGUCAUCAUGGCCCUUACGAGUAGGGCUACACACGUGCUACAAUGGCGCAUACAAAGAGAAGCGACCUCGCGAGAGCAAGCGGACCUCAUAAAGUGCGUCGUAGUCCGGAUUGGAGUCUGCAACUCGACUCCAUGAAGUCGGAAUCGCUAGUAAUCGUGGAUCAGAAUGCCACGGUGAAUACGUUCCCGGGCCUUGUACACACCGCCCGUCACACCAUGGGAGUGGGUUGCAAAAGAAGUAGGUAGCUUAACCUUCGGGAGGGCGCUUACCACUUUGUGAUUCAUGACUGGGGUGAAGUCGUAACAAGGUAAGCGUAGAUGA
rnacentral:rRNA from 1 species